rnacentral:rRNA from 1 species
GGUUGUAUGUCUAAAGGGAAACAGCCCAGAACAAGUGUUAAUAAGGUUCCAAAAUUAUUAUUAAGUGAAAUAAAGGUAGUUUGUGUCCUAAACGGCCAGGAAAUGGGCUUAGAAGCGGCCAUUUUUUAAAGACCUCGUAACAGAGCACUGGUUUCUCCUAAUUAUUAGGGUAAAUUAAGUAUAAGAAGUUAAAAUUUUUAAUUUAGUUUACAUGGAUAUAAGCACCGACGAUACAACGGAUCUAAAUAAUAUACCGAGACCUUGUCCAUAAUUAUAUAUAUAAUGUUUUAUAACCAGAGUAUAUUAAUUAAUUUUAUUUAUAUGCUAUAGAACCACACUAGGGCGGCGCAAACCCGGCUGCUAGUUGCAACAUAUAUACUAGAGUUAAUUUUUCCCUCUAGCAAGUUUUUUUAGCAAAAAGUUAAAAAAGAUCCGAUCCUGGCCUUGCUAAAAGUUAUAUGUUAUAUAUAGUUUUAUGGGGUAGCGGAACAUUGGGUAUACCACACCCUU